GGAGGGCAUCCCUCCGGACCAGCAACGCCUUAUCUUCGCUGGCAAGCAGCUUGAGGAUGGGCGUACUCUCGCGGAUUAUAACAUCCAGAAGGAGUCCACCUUGCACCUUGUCCUCCGCCUUCGUGGAGGCAUGCAAAUAUUCGUGAAGACCCUCACCGGCAAGACCAUUACCCUGGAGGUCGAGUCCUCCGACACGAUCGAUAAUGUGAAGGCCAAGAUCCAGGACAAGGAGGGAAUCCCACCAGACCAGCAGCGUCUCAUCUUUGCUGGGAAGCAGCUCGAGGAUGGCCGCACCCUUGCAGACUACAACAUCCAAAAGGAAUCCACCCUGCACCUUGUCCUGCGCCUCCGGGGCGGUAUGCAGAUCUUUGUGAAGACCCUUACUGGCAAGACGAUCACCUUGGAGGUUGAGUCCUCUGACACGAUCGACAAUGUGAAGGCCAAGAUCCAGGACAAGGAGGGUAUUCCACCAGACCAGCAGCGGCUCAUCUUCGCUGGCAAGCAGCUUGAGGACGGCCGCACCCUUGCUGACUAUAACAUCCAGAAGGAGUCCACCUUGCACUUGGUCCUCCGCCUUCGUGGAGGUAUGCAGAUCUUCGUGAAGACCCUCACCGGCAAGACCAUCACCCUGGAGGUUGAGUCGUCUGACACGAUCGACAAUGUGAAGGCCAAGAUCCAGGACAAGGAGGGUAUUCCACCAGACCAGCAGCGCCUCAUCUUCGCUGGCAAGCAGCUUGAGGAUGGUCGCACCCUUGCAGAUUACAACAUCCAGAAGGAGUCCACCCUGCACCUUGUCCUGCGCCUUCGUGGAGGUAUGCAGAUCUUCGUGAAGACCCUCACUGGCAAGACCAUCACUCUGGAGGUUGAGUCCUCUGACACCAUCGACAACGUGAAGGCCAAGAUCCAGGAUAAGGAGGGCAUCCCUCCAGACCAGCAGCGCCUCAUCUUCGCCGGCAAGCAGCUCGAGGAUGGCCGCACCCUUGCCGACUAUAACAUCCAGAAGGAGUCCACCCUGCACCUUGUCCUGCGCCUCCGUGGUGGUCUCUGAGCGUGUGCUGUGGUGCAGCAUUGGACUUCAUUAUACCUAUGCCGCUCGUCUGUCAUAUCAUCGUGUCAUGGUUGUGUUGUGUUCUGGUUUAGAGUCCCUAAGUUGUGUUGAUACUAUUAUCCA
rnacentral:lncRNA from 1 species